UACGAAGGGUGCAAGCGUUAAUCGGAAUUACUGGGCGUAAAGGGUGCGUAGGCGGUUUGUUAAGUCUGUUGUGAAAUCCCCGGGCUCAACCUGGGAAUGGCAAUGGAUACUGGCAAGCUAGAGUGUGUCAGAGGAUGGUGGAAUUCCCGGUGUAGCGGUGAAAUGCGUAGAGAUCGGGAGGAACAUCAGUUGCGAAGGCGGCUCUCUGGACCAGUACUGACGCUGAGGCACGAAAGCGUGGGGAGCAAACAGG
rnacentral:rRNA from 1 species